rnacentral:rRNA from 1 species
UACGGGGGGGCAAGCGUUGGUCGGAAUUACUGGGCGUAAAGGGGUUGUAGGUUGCUUGCUAAGUCAGACGUGAAAUCCCUCAGCUUAACUGGGGAACUGCGUCUGAGACUGGCAGGCUUGAGUGCAGGAGAGGAACGCGGAAUUCCAGGUGUAGCGGUGAAAUGCGUAGAUAUCUGGAGGAACACCGGUGGCGAAGGCGGCGUUCUGGACUGUAACUGACACUGAGGAACGAAAGCCAGGGGAGCAAACGGG